AACGAACGCUGGCGGCAUGCCUAACACAUGCAAGUCGAACGAGACCUUCGGGUCUAGUGGCGCACGGGUGCGUAACGCGUGGGAACCUGCCCUUAGGUUCGGAAUAACUCCCCGAAAGGGGUGCUAAUACCGGAUAAUGUCUUCGGACCAAAGAUUUAUCGCCUUUGGAUGGGCCGGCGUUGGAUUAGCUAGUUGGUAGGGUAAAAGCCUACCAAGGCGACGAUCCAUAGCUGGUCUGAGAGGAUGAUCAGCCACACUGGGACUGAGACACGGCCCAGACUCCUACGGGAGGCAGCAGUGGGGAAUAUUGGACAAUGGGCGAAAGCCUGAUCCAGCAAUGCCGCGUGAGUGAUGAAGUCCUUAGGGUUGUAAAGCUCUUUUACCCGGGAUGAUAAUGACAGUACCGGGAGAAUAAGCUCCGGCUAACUCCGUG
rnacentral:rRNA from 1 species